rnacentral:rRNA from 1 species
CGAAAGCGAGUCUGAAUAGGGCGACUGAGUUCGAUGAAUUAGACCCGAACCCCGGCGAUCUAGGCAUGGCCAGGUUGAAGGUGCGGUAACACGCACUGGAGGACCGAACCGGUGAAUGUUGAAAAAUUCUCGGAUGAGCUGUGUUUAGGGGUGAAAGGCCAAUCAAGCCGGGAAAUAGCUGGUUCUCCGCGAAAUCUAUUGAGGUAGAGCGUCGGAUGUAUGCCGAUGGGGGUAGAGCACUGGAUGGGCUAGGGCUGCGCGAGCGGUACCAAACCUAACCAAACUCCGAAUACCAUCGAGUCUUAUCCGGCAGACAGACGGCGGGUGCUAAGGUCCGUCGUCAAAAGGGAAACAGCCCUAACCUACAGCUAAGGUCCCCAAGUCAUAUCUAAGUGGGAAAGCAUGUGGGAAUCCCAAAACAACCAGGAGGUUGGCUUAGAAG